UCGAGCCAGCAAGUGUGGAUACUCUCAAGCAGCAGUCACAAACCUGAAGACAGGCGGCUCAAGGCAAAGGGUCGUUGUCAAAGUAGCAGUGGAGUUUGCAAGCCUCAGGAGUAAAUGAACAUCCCUAUUUUCAAUCACUCUGCUUACCUUCCUAGUCUAAGAGGGGCACUAGAAAAAACUCAGCCUUCUUUUUCACCCUCGCCAGUAUACCACGGCUACUACAGAUCUCCAGCAGCGUUCCAAACAGAAAAUGAGCAAGAUUUUGAUUUUCUACGAAAAUGUGGGAUCUACUGCAAGUACGAGCGGUCACUACACAUCCGCUGUGAUAACAGAAAAGAUCGACAACAGACAAGUCUGUGAAAUUUAACCUCUCAUAGGGAAGAUUCGAAUCCGAAUUCGUUUUAGCAUGUAAGCAAGUCACUGAGAUGGAAGCUACAGCAACAUCCAGCCCCUCAUCUUUCAAACUUGCGCUGGUCAGCUGCUUGAUAUUCCUUGGUCUGCUCGCUUGCUGCUCUGGUGUAAUGAAAAGCAAGGAAUUUAAAGUCUCAUGUCAGAGCUAUUAUUUAAAAAACACAUUAGGAGCUAUAACAUGUGAGGUGAACUCUGAGAUGUUAAAAUACCAGUGCCAAUAUACUUCCCAACGUCUUCUUCAAGUUAAAGUAAGUAAAGACAUAAUCAGUAAAUGCGUCAAGACAUCUGUGGCUGACUUACGUGAAUUGCAAAGGAAAGGAACCAUCAAACGGAGCUUUCAACUGUGAAGAAAAGGGAAACAUAGUGAAAUUAACUGCCAUUUUAUUCCAACUGAAAGCGACCAAGGAAGAGAAGCAAGCUGUGUCCUUCAAUGCGACAAUCGUACCAGGGACGUAGUCUAUAGAUUUCUCAUUACCGAGACCUGCCUUUUGAAGAUUGUAGUAGUGGCGUGGCUGAUAUGGAAAAAUUGUCUCCAGGGCGAGAAAGAAGGUGACUCAGAGCCAAAAGCAGAAGGUGAAAUGAUGGCAGAAGGGAUACAACAAGAGCAAGAAUCAAGAGUUUGAGAAGAAGCAG